rnacentral:misc_RNA from 1 species
CGGUGAUUAAGAAGAGACCAGUCAG